GGUCGCGCAGGGCUGUCCCGGUGAGAACGGUGAUCAUCACCGGACGGCGCACAGGAAAGCGCGUGUUGGAAUGGACCACCAUAUUCUGUACCACCAGACAACUAGAAUGAAAAUGACUGCUAGAAUGCUCUUCAACAAGGUUAUGGGAUCGAGGAAGCGUCUGGUGAUCUCGCUGGUGCUGGCCGUGAUCCUGGUGGACCUGUGCAUCGUAGCGACACCCCGCCGCACCGAGUCGGAGACGCCGACGGCUACGGUGCAGAGGGAACGGC